CCUAGUGGCAGAAUCCUCUGUGCAUUUAGCGCAGCCCCUUGGAGAUAAAUGCCAAAUGUGUAGCUGGCAAAUGGCAGGAUUGUGGGCAAGAGGCAUGUCAGGGUGGGGCCAGGGGAUGUUCUCCAUUCUCCUGACUUCACAUUUACUCCAAACAGGGAGAUUUCAUCUGACUAGGGUAUGUGAGAGUCCAGUGAGAGCCAGUGCUGCUGAAAGGAUUUACAGAGAGGAGGACUUUCAUCUGUGUAUUCCCUCAAUGACCGCAAUGCAUGAGCCAAUCCUGUGUUAGAAAACACACAUCCCACAGCUCUUGAGCUCUAGAUCCCAGGGCAUGGCCUGAAAGCACAUGAUGCAGCAAACAUGCUGAAGUUAAACAGGACUGGGUCUGAUGAGUGCCUAAAUGGGAGAACACAUGGGACCACAUGUAUGCCAGCUGGACUCUGCCAGCAGAGAGGAGAAUAUAAAGGAUGUAAGGGAACCAGAAUUUAAGGUCUAUCAAAGGGGGUGAUUCUUUCCUAUACCCACUGUAAGUGAGAAUUUGGAACACAAAGCCUGAUUGGAGUGCUUCCAAGGAUCUCGAAGGGACUUCGGGGCAAAAUCCUAAUAUGAAUCAUGAAAGGCAAAAGAGAAAAUGAAGAUUUUCCCCACUCUGUGGAUGAAAGUGACUUCCAGAAAUAAAUCGGCACAUUUAAGAAACCUUAAAUGGAAAGACUUCUGUUUUAAAACAUAGUAGUGGUGAUGCUGACAAAAAUCACAUGCAACUUUUAUUUGCAAAAAGCAUCACAGUACAGUACCACCAAAGACUAUUCUGGAAUGUUAAGUUCAUUCCAGGCCAUAACCAGCACUUGAGGCAAUCCAAGGAGCCUCUUGGACUUCCAGAGAUAGCUAAAGAUAGUGCAAACUGCCUUAAACUGGAUGGAUCACUAGUCCAUCUAGCUCGCUAAUGUCUUCCCUGUCUGGCAGUGAUGUUCCAGGGGUUCAGGUUGGCACCUAGAGGGGUCCAGUGAGGCAGUUCACACGGUUAUGCGGCAA